rnacentral:rRNA from 1 species
UACAGAGGUCCCAAGCGCUGUUCGGAUUCAUUGGGCGUAAAGGGUGCGUAGGCGGCGCGGUAAGUCGGGUGUGAAAUCUCGGGGCUUAACUCCGAAACUGCAUUCGAUACUGCCGUGCUUGAGGACUGGAAAGGAGACUGGAAUUUACGGUGUAGCGGUGAAAUGCGUAGAUAUCGUAAGGAAGACCAGUGGCGAAGGCGGGUCUCUGGACAGUUCCUGACGCUGAGGCACGAAGGUCAGGGGAGCAAACGGG